GUGGGGAAUCUUCCGCAAUGGACGAAAGUCUGACGGAGCAACGCCGCGUGAGUGAAGAAGGUUUUCGGAUCGUAAAGCUCUUUCGUUAGGGACGAACGUGCUCUUUGUGAAUAAUGAGGAGUAAUGACGGUACCUAAAUAAGAAGCCACGGCUAACUACGUGCCAGCAGCCGCGGUAAUACGUAGGUGGCAAGCGUUGUCCGGAAUUAUUGGGCGUAAAGCGCGCGCAGGCGGGAUAUCAAGUCUGUCUUAAAAGUGCGAGGCUCAACCUCGUGAGGGGACAGAAACUGGUAUUCUUGAGUGUCGGAGAGGAAAGUGGAAUUCCAAGUGUAGCGGUGAAAUGCGUAGAGAUUUGGAAGAACACCAGUGGCGAAGGCGACUUUCUGGACUGUGUCUGACGCUGAGAUGCGAAAGCCAGGGUAGCGAACGGGAUUAGAUACCCCAGUAGUCC
rnacentral:rRNA from 1 species